AUGAAACCAGAGUGAAGCAGCAGCGGCAGAAGCAAAGAAGGAUGAUCACACUGCUGUCCUUUUACCAUCAGGCCACCUCCCCACAGAGCCCAGGCCUCUGAAGAAAACUGUCUUUGUCACCUUUCCGAAACCAGAGCUCAAGGACCCCCGAGGCCAGCCCAGACAGAGGGGAGAGGAAGUGCACAGAGUAGGGGAGCGCCCAGAUGGGACAGGCUCCGCCCACCCCAGGACCUCCGUGCCCUCCCCAGGACCUCCGUGCCCUCCCCAGGAUCAGCUGUCUGAGGCCACCGUCCUCGAGGAGCUCGGAAUCCAGAAUCCAGCAGCAAGCCAGUGCCCCGCUUG